UGAUACAUACAUUCACCAUCUUUAUACGGUGUACAAUGUUUUGCUUGAAGAGUAUUAUGCAUUUGUUUUUACAAUAUACUAUACAAGUAUUUUAUUAUUAGAUUCAAUACAAGUUUCUCCCUGCUACAAAUGUCUGAUGCUGCAAAAAUAAUGGUUUUGUAUUACAUGCAUGUAUAUUGUGAAUUUUUGUCACGAAUAUCAUUUUUCCUACAUUGCUAUAAUGUUGCUUUUAUCAAUCAAAUUAAAGAUCUAUAGAUCGCAUACAGUGUUAUACUGUCUGUCUACAUGUAUACGAUUUUUAGAAAUUAUGAAAUGGUCUAUAUUAUCCAGACAUUUUAAUAUUACAGACAAUUAACACUUUCUCCAUGUAAAACAAUACUACUAUAUUUUGAACCAUUUGAUUUUUCAUGACAAUCAUAUUGUUAUUUGGAGGAACUUUUUGGAAACCAUAGAUUCUGAAACAUUAUUCUUACUCUCAGUGCCAAAUUUGUGUAGUAUUAUUUUGCAAACAUUAAACACGGUCAGGUUUUGAUGGGAAAAAUCUAAUAUAUAACUUUCACGUGUAUAUUUUAAUAUAAUUAUCUAAUAUUACAUGUACAGUGUACAUCAGUGCCUUGAAUCUUAUUGAUCCUAAGUUGUAUUUUAAUGAGUUGUUCUUAUUUUCUUGUGAAUUGACGUUAUCACAUUUGCUAUGCAACUUGCAUAAAUAAAAAAAAAAGCCU
rnacentral:misc_RNA from 1 species